GACGAACGCUGGCGGCGUGCUUAACACAUGCCAGUCGAACGGAAAGGCCUCUUUCGGGGGGUACUCGAGUGGCGAACGGGUGAGUAACACGUGAGUAACCUGCCCUUGACUUUGGGAUAACUUCAGGAAACUGGGGCUAAUACCGGAUAGGAGCUCCUGCUGCAUGGUGGGGGUUGGAAAGUUUCGGCGGUUGGGGAUGGACUCGCGGCUUAUCAGCUUGUUGGUGGGGUAGUGGCUUACCAAGGCUUUGACGGGUAGCCGGCCUGAGAGGGUGACCGGCCACAUUGGGACUGAGAUACGGCACAGACUCCUACGGGAGGCAGCAGUGGGGAAUAUUGCACAAUGGGUGGAAGCCUGAUGCAGCAACGCCGUGUGCGGGAUGACGGCCUUCGGGUUGUAAACCGCUUUCGCUCAUGACGAAGCUUUGUGUGACGGUAGUGGGUAAAGAAGCACCGGCUAACUACGUG
rnacentral:rRNA from 1 species